rnacentral:rRNA from 1 species
GACGAACGCUGGCGGCGUGCCUAAUACAUGCAAGUCGAACGCAGUGGGGACGGGUGCGUAACACGUGGGUAACCUCCCAUCAGAGGGGAUAACACUUAGAAAAAGGUGCUAACCCGAAACUGAUGGAUGGACCCGCGGUGGAUUAGCUAGUGGGUGGGGUAACGGCUUACCAAGGCCACGAUGCAUAGCUGGUCUGAGCGUGGGAUGCGCCAUACUGGGACGGAGACACGGCCCAGACUCCUACGGGAGGCAGCAGUGGGGAAUCUUGGGCAAUGGACGAAAGUCUGACCGAGCCACGCCGCGUGUGUGAAGAAGUCUUUCGGGUCGUAAAACUCUUUUGUUAGGGAGGCGGUAUCUAACCAGAAAGCCACGGCUAACUACGUGCCAGCAGCCGCGGUAAUUC